UGCCGAUGUGGCAGCACGAAGCACGACGAUAACGCCUGCCGCUGGGUUAACGCACGCUGCUAUCACUGUGGGCGGCGCGGUCGUUUGGCAAAGAAAUGCUACAGUGCUCCAACUGAUGCAAAGGUGGGAAGGCGGGCAGCGAGUGUAAAUGCACUGACAAUUGAAAGCGUGUCAAGCAACGCCAUCUGGAUAGCGCACACGUUUGGACGUUGAUUUCGGGAAAAAAAACGGUCUGGAACCACCCAUACGCCACACGUCUCGAUGGGGCAACGUAGACAUUGCUAUGGAAGUGGAUACUGAUUCCCCGGUGUGCGUCGUAUCGCGCCAAGUGUAAUAUCGACACCACGCACAGUGGCCGUGCUUACAACCACCACGAAUCAAGCUGUCAUGUUACGCGGGACAGCUUCCGGUGUUGGGGGAACUCGAACUCCCAGUGGAGUAUAAAAAUGUAUCUGUGCCUUGCCCACUCAUAGUGCUUGACUGUGCAGGACCCAGCCUAUGUGGCCACGAUCUCAUUGCUUUGCUUAGCAAGACGGGCGUUCCCAUUGGAGACCUGACUGCGCUGGACCCUACAGCAAGCGCCGAGCCAAGCGACUCUAUGCUGAACCGACUGCUCGGCGAGUUCGAGGAUGUUUUCUCAACAGACCUUGGACUAAUCAAAGGUCCACCAGCCAGCCUAAAACUCAAGGAGACAGCGACACCGAAAUUCUAUAUGUCCAUUACAUUGUUGCAGCCCAAUGGAAAUUGCAGAAGAACGACAGUUACUACUACGAGUCUCUUGUGAGUGAGAGGUUAAGACAAACGUUUACGUUCGACUCACUAGACUGGUUGAAAGCGAAGCUGUGCGAGGUGAAAAGCUUCUUGACGACUGUUUCCUUUGGCGUGGCCGCAUACGACGUCGAGUAUGACUCAUUCCCAAAAGGCUGCCCGGAGACCGGCAUCAAGUCUGGCCCCUUCAACCGUCUCUUCGGAGUUCAACGGCUGAAUAACUUCCUGUUCAAAGACUACAAUGGAUAUCCUGGUUGCGUGGGCCUGAACUUCAGUACCAGUCGAGUGACAUGAGCUCCUAAUAAAUGAACACUGCGUGAUGCGGAUUUUAGACAGAUGA
rnacentral:misc_RNA from 1 species